UCAAAAAAAACUUCAUAAGUAAGGUCAAUGUCCUCAUCACUUCUUUCUUCAUCUCUCUCUUCAUUUUGGACACCUAUAAAAGAGAAUAAAUAAUCUCAAUUAGUACUUAAAUGACAACAUAUUUUCAUUUAGAACACACCGAAAAACAAGGAUUCCAAUAAGUAAAGAGUCAUUGCAUUACAAGUUUUAGCAAUCAGCUAAAGGUGAUGUUAUACAACUCAAAAAUAACCUUUGAAGAUCUCUCACCCAAACCUUUAUCGACUAGCUGUGAACAUAUGAGUAAGAAACUAUCAACCGUUGAUUAUUAUUCCUGUGGCAUGUUUGAGCUUUCAUUUACUUUUCUAUGCAAAAGAAAAAAUGAGAUCACUUGUAUGAAUCGUGACUAUAGCAUUCAUGUUCUCAUUUAUUGAACCAAUAUCUUCUAUCAGAUGCGUAAUAUAUUUUUCUAUAUAAUACUGUACGGGAGAAUCCAGAAGGUGACCAACAAUAACCAACAAUCCAGUUUUAAGACAAAAGGAAUUAGCUUUUAAACCAAGUGAACUGAAUAUAGCAUAAAGGAAAGGAGUACAUGUAACGAUAACAUGAACUGAAGUAAGCAACAUUUAUGAACAUUGGAGACUCACCGUAGAGAAAAGUGUUGGCAGUUUCCUUCCUUUUUGAUCGGCAUAGGAAUAUUAAGAUCAAUAGAUAUUGAUUCAACUUGUCUAAGCCCACCAAAUGAUUUAGCCACAGGAGUACCAGAAUCAUUUCUAAGAGUAUUAUCUUCCACUACCAUGUUAAUUUUGUCCAUGUAAAAAGGAUAACAACUAAAAGUCAUCAUAAAAAGAAUUCAGUCAGAAACUCACAGAAAAAUAGAAGUACUGCAAACGGCUACAUUAUUCAGAAAAAG
rnacentral:lncRNA from 1 species